AUGUGCUGUGUUUGUCUUUUAGGAAAAUUAAUUUUUAGUUAUUUGACAGCCUUAAAACAGGAGACACAUGAAAGAAUGUACCUAAAAGAUCAAAGAGAACUAAUAUAUUCUGAGAGGGGAAAAAGAACAUUUCCAAAGAGCCUGAAAGCUCUUCCCCAUCUGUCUAUUUGUGCUACAUCAGUUUCCAAAUGUUCUGCGUUUCUGGGUAAAAUCAUAUUUCAAGCCUCGUUUCCGUUCAUCCAACGCAUGGUGAAGUUUGAAAGCUUGUGCAGCACUACGGAAAUUUGAGGUCACAAGUGGAUGGUUCUGAAGCCAAGGUCACCAUUUUGAUGCUACCGUUAUUGUUCCAGAUGUCUGAAGUCCUUUCAACCAUGUGAAAAGAAGAAGAAAAAUGCAAUAUCUUUUCUAUCAGGUAAGUGUACGCAUGACUGCUUAGUCCACAACUUACACAGUCAUUUAUUCUUUAAUCAUUUCUAAUUAUUUUCAUGAGAAUUCUAGAAGUAGCCAUAGCCCUGGUUACCAAAAGGGAAAGGUAUUUAAGAAAUAAUGUUGGUUGAACUCACUCAGUGACACAUAGAAAACUUGGAUCUCCUAAAACACAGUUCAAAAGAUUAACAUGAAAAAAGCCAACUUCCAUUUCAAGAUACGAUGGGGUACCUUAGAGUACCUCAAUGUUCCCACUGAGAAAAAAUGGACAAAUACAAAAUAAGAUACACAAAACACAAAUCUGUUUAAAUGCAUCAGUGACUUAUUGAAGGAACAAGGAAGAACAGAGGCUGAGACUUGGAAGCUUCUGUAAAGAAGGCAACCAGGGAAAGAGCAGGUCAGAGUCUGUAGCUGCUUUUUCCCUGGAGUUUGCCAAAGGUCAGUCCUAGAAUCUGGGGAUGGCAUGGACAGAGGGCUACUGAGCAGAGACAGAAGCAGUUUUGGGUGGUCGUGCUGCACUGGGACACAAAAUUAGAGACCCAACGGGCCAGUAGUCAAUUGAAAAGGGACUGUUGAGAGUAUAGCUGAGCUCUUCCAUGGUAUCAUUGUCUCAGCAGACAUUUCAUCUCACCAAGGGGCCUGCAGGGGUCUUACACUGACGCCAGCCUCAGUGCAAGUGCUCACCCUAGAUAACAGCCCCAGAGUCACAGGCAGUGCAAGUUCCUGAUAUGACUUCCCCAUCAGCAGUCUGCCUGCCUCCCAGCACCUCCACUGAGGGCACCUAAGAACUUCUCCCAAACCCACUCUUUUUGGUUUAAAUUGACAAAUCUUGUCUUAGCACAGGAACCCNNNNNNNNNNNNNNNNNNNNNNNNNNNNNNNNNNNNNNNNNNNNNNNNNNNNNNNNNNNNNNNNNNNNNNNNNNNNNNNNNNNNNNNNNNNNNNNNNNNACUCUUUUUGGUUUAAAUUGACAAAUCUUGUCUUAGCACAGGAACCCCAAAAGCAUUCCACCCACUGACUCUAAUAAAAGUAUGUGCCCAGGUCCUGCCUCUUUCUCUGCCUGCUCCCCCUCUAACCCCUCCAACUGUGCCAUGAACUUCCUCCAGGACCUAUGAGUUAUAAACUUCUCUGUUUCAAUCUCUUGUGACCUUUUGUUGAACCAUGGCUCACCACCCAGCACCCUAUGUGCAACGUAACCAAAAGUUUGACAAAGUUAUAACAGGAGUAUAAGAAGCACUAGGAUUGGCAAGUGGUAGGCUCUCCUUGGACAUCUGCUGAAUUCUGAAAGCUGCAAAGGUGGAGAACUAAGGGAAUCUAAGAACAAAGACCAGAAAAAUCAGACCUGAGUUUCUGAUUGAGGAGAAAAAAAAAUUAAGGACUAGACAGAAGGCGAGGGUCUGGGGAACACAGGAGGCCUCCAUCUGGAAGUCAUGGAGAGCUGACCUCCAGUGAACACAGUCCAGUCCUUGACUGGAUUUAGAUGGUCAGUCUUCACUCUGUCUGCCCAGCAGAGGAAAAGGUGAAAACCAUCUGGACAAAGAUGAUAUGAUCUGGAGUCUCUACAGUUUAAUUCACACAGUGUCCAGAAUUAAUAGAAAAUUACUUAGCAUGCCAAGAAAAAGAUCAUGCAACCCAAAUUCAAGAGAUAAAGGAGACUUCUUAGAGAUUUGGUGACUAGACUUAGCAGACAAGAGCUUUAAAAUGACUAUAAUUAACAUCUUCAAUGAAAUAAAAGAGGACAAAAAUAUACUAAAAUAUAGGAAAAGACAAAACUGAAAUUAAGAACUCAACAUAUGGAUUUAAACAUACAGAGAUUAAAAGAAUAAGUAAUAUAUCAAAACUCACAGGAUGCAGCUAAAGCUUUACCUCUAAAACUAUGUCCUCAAAUGCACUUAUGAGCAAAGAAAAAAGGCUGAAAAGAAUGUUUUAAGUUUCAACAUUAAUAAGCUAGAAUAAACAUAAGUAUUUAAAGCCUAAGAAAAGUAAAAGAAUGGAAAUAAUAGGCACAAGGUUAGAAAUCAACUGAAUAAAACUGAUGAAAACCUAUCAAGACCAAUUAUUAAGAAAUGUACUUGGAUAGGCAUAUAUAACAUCAGAAAUAAAAAAUUAACAUCACUACAGAUCUUACAGACAUAAAUAAUGUAUUAAGG
rnacentral:lncRNA from 1 species